GGCUCAGAUUGAACGCUGGCGGCAGGCCUAACACAUGCAAGUCGAACGGUAACAGGAAGCAGCUUGCUGCUUGCUGACGAGUGGCGGACGGGUGAGUAAUGUCUGGGAAACUGCCCGAUGGAGGGGGAUAACUACUGGAAACGGUAGCUAAUAUCGCAUAAUGUCGCAAGACCAAAGAGGGGGACCUUCGGGCCUCUUGCCAUCGGAUGUGCCCAGAUGGGAUUAGCUUGUUGGUGAGGUAACGGCUCACCAAGGCGACGAUCCCUAGCUGGUCUGAGAGGAUGACCAGCCACACUGGAACUGAGACACGGUCCAGACUCCUACGGGAGGCAGCAGUGGGGAAUAUUGCACAAUGGGCGCAAGCCUGAUGCAGCCAAUGCCGCGUGUAUGAAGAAGGCCGUUCGGGUUAGUAAAGUACUUUCAGCGGGGAGGAAGGGGUUAAGGUUAAUAACCUUAGCCAUUGACGUUACCCGCAGAAGAAGCACCGGCUAACUCCGUGCCAGCCGCGGC
rnacentral:rRNA from 1 species